UCGUCGCAGGGACCUCUCCCGGGUGGGGUCAGCUUCCAGCCCAAGAAGGGGCGGGAGAGGGGCCGAGGUGCCGCAAGGCCUGGGAUGCGGAGUCCAGGCCAGAGAGACGGGGUGCGACCGCUCAGCUUCGGGAUCCGCGGUCGCAACAGACCGGGCUGUUUCGGUUCCCACCGCACCUGGCCACGGCAGAACGCGGCUUGCAGCGAGGGCGCGGCCCCGCCAGGCCAGCGAUGGGGCGGGCCGGCGCCACGGGGCGCUCCGCCCCCGAUGAUGCGGCGGCCUCCGACUGGCCCCCGGCCCGUCACUCACUCCUCACCAUGGUUGCAGCACAAAGCAACAAGCCCCGGAGGCCGCUUCCUCCCUGAAGAGCGGCUCCAGCGGCCG
rnacentral:lncRNA from 1 species